rnacentral:tRNA from 1 species
UUUAAGGUAGUUUAAUAAAAAAUAUUAUUUUUGGGUAAUAAAGAACUCAAUAUUUAUUUUUGAGUCUUAAAC